rnacentral:lncRNA from 1 species
AUGCCUUUUAUCUGGUUGUCACAUGCAUGCUUAAUGUGAACAACAGCAAGAAGAAUAGCAGAAGAAUAAAGGCCUUUGAUAGGGAUUUAUGAAGGUCACAUGUCUUAAUUUUGCAGGGGUGAAAGUGUGCAUUCAGAGAACCCAUUGGAAAGUGUGCUUGGCAAGCAUUCAUCAGCCUAGAGACUUGGAUGAAAUACGGCAAAUAAAGAGAGAAGAGGCAUUUCCUGGGGGGAGACAAGAAGGGGCUGGACGCACUGAAUGGUAUCAUCUUUCCAGGAUCAGAGGAUUCAAAGCAAAAUGAGCUCCUUCCCAGCAUCUCAGGAUCCUCAAAGCAAAGCUAUGAUUUUCUUAUUCUCUACCAAGUGAAGGACUGCAGCACACACAUAUCCUUACAGCAAAGAAUGCCCUAUUGAAGGCUGCUUGGCACCAGCCUUAAAGCAAUUUAGCAAUCUGUCAUCUUAAACCAUCUAAUGACAACUCUUCAAGCAAUUGGAAAAUUGUGGCCUUCAGCAGACUCUCCAGCUGAGCAGGAGCCGGUGUGUGUCUCCUCUGCUUUCAGCAGGGCUUGGCAUUCCCAAUGAAAGUCAGGCUGCUCUCCAUGCGCUUGGCAUGGCAUUCAUGCAGAGGCAGGAUGCAAAGGGUGGGCUGAAGACUCUCCAAGGUUAUGUCUAUACUAUUAAAUAGCACGGGCCAAGGUUUACUCCUUGGCACAGGCAGCAGCUGGCAGAGCUUGCAUGCUGAUGUUUAAUCCUCCUCCUCUUCAGGGCAGGGUGCCUGUGUCCAUAUCUCCCUCUAGGGACAAUUUUUUGACUCAAACAUCAGCCUGAACUUGGGCUUGAAUCAAUUUCAAUGGCCAGAGACCAUGCUCCCAGUGGCCCGGCCUGGCUGAUUGCAAGACACACUGGGCAUGCAUCCCAGUUUGUAGAAUUUGCUGACUUUUGAGUAUUCCUAUGUUAACUAUUAUUUCUGCAGCUUGGGUGCCCACUUCUUGGGCAAAGUGAUUGUGGAUUAACACCUAUUGAUAUCUGCUGUACAAGGAUCCACCUGGGAUGUAGAGGAUAUAUGAAUACAUAGGAGGGAUCCAUUUAACUCCAUCACUGCUUUGCCAUCUAAUGAGGUGAAAAAAGGAAGAAAAAGUUCUGACAUACUCCAUGAUACUGUUGGGGAAAUGAGACCUGGAGCAACCCAGCAACUCCUGGGAGAGCUCUGAAGAGGCUGACCAUGAGGAACUGCAGUUAUACUUUGAUAAGAGCUCUGUCUGGGGAGAGAUGGAGCAGACAAAGCUGAACUUGUCUCACCUCUAAUGAAGCUGUCAAUGAAGCAGCGAAGUACACUCACUUUGCAAAAGCAGACUAAAUCUGGCUGAAGAGAUUAUGUUUUUUGACACACUGAAACCUGACUGGGAAGCUGACAACUUUUUUGCCCGAGGAGAGAAAAAAAAACAGAUAUGAGACACAGUGUAUUUUGUAUAAGUACAGGGCAGUGUGGAGGUUAUGGGAAGAGAUAGGUAGUGUAGGGGUGAGGUUGUACCCCAUGGCCAUAAGCAAGGUGUCUUCUCUUACUCAGCUGACCCACCAUGCCCUGUCAAACUGCGCCCUUGGGCAGAUCUCAAUAAAACCCUUCCUGCAGCACA